rfam:Mesorhizobium amorphae CCNWGS0123 contig00084, whole genome shotgun sequence.
AUGACGAAUGCCGAUGGAACUACAGGCUGUUCACCUCCAGGUCGCGGGUUCGAAUCCCGUCGGGUCCGCCACUAUGGACCCGUAGCUCAGCGGAUAGAGCGGGACGUUUCGUCAAACCUUGUCGUCAUGCC